AUUGAACGCUGGCGGCAUGCCUUACACAUGCAAGUCGAACGGUAACAGGUCUUCGGAUGCUGACGAGUGGCGAACGGGUGAGUAAUACAUCGGAGCGUGCCCGAGAGUGGGGGAUAACGAGGCGAAAGCUUUGCUAAUACCGCAUACGAUCUCAGGAUGAAAGCAGGGGACCGCAAGGCCUUGCGCUCACGGAGCGGCCGAUGGCAGAUUAGGUAGUUGGUGGGAUAAAAGCUUACCAAGCCGACGAUCUGUAGCUGGUCUGAGAGGACGACCAGCCACACUGGGACUGAGACACGGCCCAGACUCCUACGGGAGGCAGCAGUGGGGAAUUUUGGACAAUGGGCGCAAGCCUGAUCCAGCCAUGCCGCGUGCAGGAUGGAGGCCUUCGGGUUGUAAACUGCUUUUGUACGGAACGAAAAGACUCUGGUUAAUACCUGGGGUCCAUGACGGUACCGUAAGAAUAAGCACCGGCUAACUACGUGCCAGCCGCCGCCGUAACAC
rnacentral:rRNA from 1 species